rnacentral:misc_RNA from 1 species
UCUCCGUUGGUGAACCAGCGGAGGGAUCAUUACAGGACUCGCAAGACUCCUACAACCCUGUGAACUUAACUAUAAGCACGUUGCUUCGGCGGGUGUCUCGGAGGGGGUUCUCCCUCCCCGAGACGCUAAACCCGCCGGCAGCCUACUAUACUCUGUCUCUUUGCGUUGGCAUCUCGAGUACAAUCAAACAAGUUAAAACUUUCAACAACGGAUCUCUUGGUUCUGGCAUCGAUGAAGAUCGCAGC